rnacentral:rRNA from 1 species
AGUGAACGCUGGCGGUAGGCCUAACACAUGCAAGUCGAACGGCAGCACAGUAAGGGCUUGCUCUUACGGGUGGCGAGUGGCGGACGGGUGAGGAAUACAUCGGAAUCUACUUUUUCGUGGGGGAUAACGUAGGGAAACUUACGCUAAUACCGCAUACGACCUACGGGUGAAAGCAGGGGAUCUUCGGACCUUGCGCGAUUGAAUGAGCCGAUGUCGGAUUAGCUAGUUGGCGGGGUAAAGGCACACCAAGGCGACGAUCCGUAGCUGGUCUGAGAGGAUGAUCAGCCACACUGGAACUGAGACACGGCCCAGACUCCGACGGGAGGCAGCAGUGGGGAAUAUUGGACGAUGGGCGAAAGCCUGAUCCAGCAAUACCGCGUGGGUGAAGAAGGCCUUCGGCUUGUAAAGCCCUUUUGUUGGGAAAGAAAAACAGCAGGUUAAUACCCCGCUAUACUGACGGUACCCAAAGAGUAAGCACCGGCUAACUUCGUG